AUAUCUAAUGUUAAUUAUAUUACAAAAUUUUAAUACCGAGUAAGUAAUUAUCAACUAACUUAUUCCACCGUCUAAAUAAAAUUCUAUAAUAUUACUGAUAUUUGGCGAACCAUGCAAGUGACAUUUACAUGUAGGCGCGUAUACCAAUUACAUAUCUCUGCAUCAUAUAUAUCGGCCUAUCAACAAUACAUAAAGACAACUUUUUGAAAAGCUUGUGAUAAGUAUUUUUUGUAAAUUGAUAUACUUCACUAUCUUA
rnacentral:lncRNA from 1 species